UCCGGUUUGGCACCGGCAGUCCUCCCAGAGUCCCCGCCAUGACGCGCUGGCAACUGGCAGCGAGGGUUGCGCUCGUUGCGGGACUUAACCCAACACCUCACGGCACGAGCUGACGACAGCCAUGCAGCACCUGUGCUGGCUCCCCGAAGGGUCCCUCACCUUUCGGUUCGGUACCACUAGCAUGUCAAGCCCUGGUAAGGUUCUUCGCGUUGCGUCGAAUUAAGCCACAUGCUCCGCCGCUUGUGCGGGCCCCCGUCAAUUCCUUUGAGUUUCAACCUUGCGGUCGUACUCCCCAGGCGGGGUACUUCCUGCGUUAGCGCCGGCACCCAGAGGGUCGCUCCCCCAGGCACCUAGUACCCAUCGUUUACGGCGUGGACUAC
rnacentral:misc_RNA from 1 species